UGCUUUUGACCAAGGCCUGAAACCUCUGAAAAUGUCUGAGGGACAUUUUGAGCUCCGACAGUGUGCCUAAGCCGGCAUUUUCAUCCCAAUACAUUUGUGCAGGCGUCUUAAAGGGUCUGUGUUGAAUAUGAGAUUCCCAAUGUUUGUUUCCUUACCUUGAGGAAUACCUGGUGGAUUUCCUUUCUUUCUUCCAUGUACCACUGUUUUUUAGAAGAGGACAAGAAGCUCAGUGAGUUUUGGUUUAUGACCACUGUGCUUAAGGGACCUACAAGCACUGCAGAGAUGCCUUUCAUGUACUAAUCCUUGGAAAUAGCAGAGUUAGUGUAGCAGAGCCCAUCUUCCGAAAAGCUGGUUUGAAUCCUCCAAGAAGGAAACAUGAUUUGCUGAUGUAGUUUCCACUAACUAGGUCAGUCAAUGAAAUCAGCUGCCAAGGCAAGAUCGGCUGAAUGUUGGAAAAGCUGUGGCUGCAUCGGGCUUUGGAUUUUUGGUUAGUAAGGAAAGCCAUCUCUGGGUCUCUGCCAGGGUAGAAACUGCCCUGCAGAAUGGAACUUAAACACUGGGAUUCUGAGAGAGCAGUUACAGAUGGGAAAGAAGCAGGUGGAGCCUUGUGUUUCCUUUUCCUGCAGGCUGAACUCCUGAUAGCCAGAGGAGAGAGACCACAGCUGUGGCAGCCCAACCGAUUCUCACCUUCCCUGCAUGACUUCCUGAGCUGCUGCCUGCAGACAGACGAAGAGCAGCGCUGGUCUGCCAAGAGGCUCCUGCAGCAUCCAUUUGUAACAUCAGCUAAGCCAGCAUCCACCCUGGCACCACUCAUCAACUCAGUGAAGAAGAAGAAGAAGACAAGAAUGUAACAAUCAACUUAUCUCCAUAACCAAGUUAGAGUAGGAUUGUAGACUAGGACUCUAGAGUAGGAUUGUUGAGUAGUUUUGUAGUAUAGGUUUAUAAUAGAGUAGUAUUUUAAUUAAAUAAAAUUUCUCAAGCA